GAGGGCCUGGGCUCUUGACACUCCAAGGACGUCAGUCGCUGCUUCACCCGGCCGGGUUUCCUUCCUCCCACCAAACCUCUUUUGACCAACUCUCUCCUGCAACCCAGAAGGCUUAUGGGAGGAGGCCACAGUGUCCAUCCCUCUGCCUCCAAGCUGAGACAGCAUCAAGGAUAUAGGGGUCCAGACUGCUGGGUCCUUGACUGGGUUUGGCCACAGACAGGAGAACCAUCUUUGUAAUGCAGCUGCACCAUCUCAGCCAUCCCCCUGGCCUCCAGGCCGGCCAGCAUCUCCUCCAGCCUGGAGACCCCAAGCCUUCUCUCUCAGUUCCCUCAGCUCCAACCUCCAGGUGUGUUUCUCAUGGCCUGGGAGAAAGAGAGCUGUUCUGGAAGAAGACACCUUGAAACGGGACAAGACACUCUGCUCCAGCCUGACUAGCCCUGAUCGGGCCAACCUGCUUCACCCACUGUUGCCCCCACUGCCAGGAUUAUCAUAGGCCCCCAGAUCCGGUGCCCUCCUCCCACACCUACCAGCCUGAUAAGGCUGGUGCCUAUCCCACUUCCAGGAAGAGGGACAUAAACACAGCUGGGGUGGACGAGGGCCCCCAGCAUCCUCUCCGGAAGCAAUGGCCACCAGGGGCUCCAGGAUGCAUCAGGGAGAAUCUGGGAAUUCCUAGGAUUCAGGUCAGGGAGUGCAGGGAGAGGAGAAGCUCCCCUUCCUAGAGCUGAAGAGAGAAGUGGCAGGGUCGUCUCCUCUGAACACUGUGUUUGGAUCCCUACCACCCCCGCCUCCACACCUGGUGGAUGUGAUGUGGUGUCUCAUUAUGGUUUGAAUUGCGUUUCCUUGAUGACUAAUGAUAUUGAGCAUCUUUUUGUAUGUCUAUUGGCCAUUUGUAUAUCUUCUUCUUCUUUAGAUAAAUGUCUAUUCAGAUCCUUUUUAACCACCUCACUGGCACGAAGCCACUAGGCUGUCCUCCCACUUUCAUGUCCCCACCACAGCCUGGCUUCCCUCUAGGUGCUUCCCUCUAUCAGGGCCUUUUCCUGCUUGAACCUUCAAUGGCUCACCACUGCUUGCAGCCAAAAAGUGUGAAAAGUGACCGGGUGCAGUGGCUCAAGCCUGUAAUCCCAGCACUUUGGGAGGCUAAGGUGGG